rnacentral:rRNA from 2 species
UGCCAGUGAUAAACUGGAGGAAGGUGGGGAUGACGUCAAGUCAUCAUGGCCCUUACGACCAGGGCUACACACGUGCUACAAUGGCAUAUACAAAGAGAAGCGACCUCGCGAGAGCAAGCGGACCUCAUAAAGUAUGUCGUAGUCCGGAUUGGAGUCUGCAACUCGACUCCAUGAAGUCGGAAUCGCUAGUAAUCGUAGAUCAGAAUGCUACGGUGAAUACGUUCCCGGGCCUUGUACACACCGCCCGUCACACCAUGGGAGUGGGUUGCAAAAGAAGUAGGUAGCUUAACCUUCGGGAGGGCGCUUACCACUUUGUGAUUCAUGACUGGGGUGAAGUCGUAACAAGGUAACCGUAGGGGAACCUGCGGUUGGAUCA